UGUCUUUUAUAAAUGGUAUAGAAAUGACAGUAUAUUCAACUUGUAUGUUGUUGGUUAAAUUUUAUCAGAGAAAAAUAUUGUUAUAAGUUAUCAUAUAUUAUCUUACAGUGGCUAGCUAGCUAUUUAAAUUAGUAUAAAGCUAGUACAAUGUAUAAAGUUGAUGAGUAUUGUUAAUUUCAGUAUAGUCGUCCAUUAACCAUUAAGGAGGCUCGAGGUUACAAAACAUUCAGCAGAAAUUGAAACUUUUUUUUCCAUUACAAAUUUUAUUUAUUACACUUAGUUGUUACUUUAUGAUACUGUACAAAAAUCAACCAAAAAAAUCAAUUCGUUUUGGC
rnacentral:lncRNA from 1 species